rnacentral:rRNA from 1 species
GACGAACGCUGGCGGCGUGCUUAACACAUGCAAGUCGAACGAAGUGGCGAACGGGUGAGUAACGCGUAAUAAACCUGCCCUUCAGGGGGGGACAACAGUUGGAAACGACUGCUAAUACCGCCUACUGAAGGUGGGGAUUGCGUCUGAUUAGCUAGUUGGAGGGGUAACGGCCCACCAAGGCGAUGAUCAGUAGCCGGUCUGGGAGGAUGGACGGCCAAAUUGGGACUGGGACACGGCCCAGACUCCUACGGGAGGCAGCAGUGGGGAAUCUUCCGCAAUGGACGGAAGGCUGACGGAGCAACGCCGCGUGAGUGAUGACGGCCUUCGGGUUGUAAAGCUCUGUUAAUCGGGACGCGGUACCGGAAGAGAAAGCCACGGCUAACUACGUGCCAGCCGCCGCGGUAAUAC